rnacentral:rRNA from 1 species
UACGUAGGGUGCAAGCGUUGUCCGGAAUCAUUGGGCGUAAAGAGCGUGUAGGCGGCUCGAUCAGUCCGCUGUAAAAGUCCAGGGCUCAACCCUGGGAUGCCGGUGGAUACUGUCGAGCUAGAGUCCGGAAGAGGCGAGUGGAAUUCCUGGUGUAGCGGUGAAAUGCGCAGAUAUCAGGAGGAACACCAAUGGCGAAGGCAGCUCGCUGGGACGGUAUUGACGCUGAGACGCGAAAGCGUGGGGAGCAAACAGG